GAGAGUUCAAAGGAAGUUGGGCGAGGCGCCUCACGCGCUGGCUCCUGCAAGAUGCUGCGCGCCCGCGGGUGCCUCGGGUGCCUCGGGUGCCUCGCUAUGGGGGCCAGAGCUUGACCAUCAUCAGGCGCUGGGAACACCACUCUGGGCCUCAGCAAAACCAGCAAGUACUCUUAAAUGGAGCUGGCGGGGUUGUGGAGUAAGAUACUCAGACGUGGAUUGACAGGUCUCACCAGCACCUGACAGGAUCCCGGCACUUCCCAGGUGGUAGCUUCUACAUCCGCCACUCCAAGCUUCGCAUCCACCACUCACUCGCCUGCCUGUAAACUGGUGGGAGGCUGUCUUGAACCUUAGACCGCCAAAGCAGGUCCCAACAGUGGCUGCUCUGGUAGAGCUGCCCCCAGUCUCUGCUGCCACUCGGGGCGCAGCCGUUGAGAGUACAAAGGAAGUUGGGCGGUGGCUCAGCCGUUGAGAGUUCAAAGGAAGUUGGGCGAGGCGCCUCACGCGCUGGCUCCUGCAAGAUGCUGCGCGCCCGCGGGUGCCUCGGGUGCCUCGGGUGCCUCGCUAUGGGGGCCAGAGCUUGACCAUCAUCAGGUUUUGCUAGAGCAUCCUGGGUAGAAUCAUCUUGGAGGAUGGGUCCAGUCCUGUAUGAUUUGUAAAGGAAAGAGUCACCUUACCUGUGAAUGUGCCAUCCACCUCAUAAAUAUCCAUUUUUAAAACAAGCUACUUAAAAUCCACAACAGAGGACUCCCUGUGCCGCUAUCCCCCCUUGGGACAAUCCACUUCAAUCUGUUUGGCUGGCUUGCUUUGCUUUGCUAAAUAAACUGCUUCCAUGCUGUCUCUUGACC